rnacentral:rRNA from 1 species
GAUGAACGCUGGCGGCGUGCCUAAUACAUGCAAGUCGAGCGAACAGACGAGGAGCUUGCUCCUCUGACGUUAGCGGCGGACGGGUGAGUAACACGUGGAUAACCUACCUAUAAGACUGGGAUAACUUCGGGAAACCGGAGCUAAUACCGGAUAAUAUAUUGAACCGCAUGGUUCAAUAGUGAAAUACGGUUUUGCUGUCACUUAUAGAUGGAUCCGCGCCGCAUUAGCUAGUUGGUAAGGUAACGGCUUACCAAGGCAACGAUGCGUAGCCGACCUGAGAGGGUGAUCGGCCACACUGGAACUGAGACACGGUCCAGACUCCUACGGGAGGCAGCAGUAGGGAAUCUUCCGCAAUGGGCGAAAGCCUGACGGAGCAACGCCUCGUGAGUGAUGAAGGUCUUCGGAUCGUAAAACUCUGUUAUUAGGGAAGAACAAAUGUGUAAGUAACUAUGCACGUCUUGACGGUACCUAAUCAGAAAGCCACGGCUAACUACGUG